rnacentral:rRNA from 1 species
GGACGAACGCUGGCGGCGUGCUUAACACAUGCAAUUCGAACGGAAAGGCCCUUCGGGGUACUCGAGUGGCGAACGGGUGAGUAACACGUGGGUGAUCUGCCCUGCACUUUGGGAUAAGCCUGGGAAACUGGGUCUAAUACCGAAUAGGACCACGCACUUCAUGGUGUGUGGUGGAAUGCUUUUGCGGUGUUGGAUGGGCCCGCGGCCUAUCAGCUUGUUGGUGGGGUAAUGGCCUACCAAGGCGACGACGGGUAGCCGGCCUGAGAGGGUGACCGGCCACACGGGGACUGAGAGACGGACCAGACGCCUACGGGAGGCAGCAGUGGGGAAUAUUGCAGAAUGGGCGCAAGCCUGAUGCAGCGACGCCGCGUGAGGGAUGACGGCCUUCGGGUUGUAAACCUCUUUCAAUAGGGACGAAGAGCAAGUGACGGUACCUAUAGAAGAAGCACCGGCCAACUACGUG